GGGUAGAGUAAUGCGUGACCAACCUGCCCCAUGCUCCAGAAUAGCUCUUGGAAACGGGUGGUAAUGCUGGAUGCUCCAACUUGACGCAUGUCUUGUUGGGAAAGUGUUUAGUGGCAUGGGAUGGGGUCGCGUCCUAUCAGCUUGUAGGCGGGGUAAUGGCCCACCUAGGCUUCGACGGGUAGCCGGCCUGAGAGGGCGGACGGCCACAUUGGGACUGAGAUACGGCCCAGACUCCUACGGGAGGCAGCAGGC
rnacentral:rRNA from 1 species